GACGAACGCUGGCGGCGGGCUUAACACAUGCAAGUCGAACGGAAAGGCCCUGCUUUUUUGGGGUGCUCGAGUGGCGAACGGGUGAGUAACACGUGAGUAACCUGCCCUUGACUUUGGUAUAACUUCAGGAAACUGGGGCUACUACCGGAUAGGAGCUCCUGCUGCAUUGUGGGGGUUGGAAAGUUUCGGCGGGUGGGGAUGGACUCGCGGCUUAUCAGCUUGUUGGUGGGGUAGGGGCAUACCCAGGCUUUGGUGGGUAGCCGGCAUGAGAGGGUGACCGGCGACAAUGGGCCUGCGGGACGGAGCAGAGUCCAACGGGAGGCAGCAGUGGGGAAUAUUGCACAAUGGGCGGAAGCCUGAGGCGGAAACGCUGCGUGCGUGAUGACGGCCUUCGGGUUGUAAACCGCUUUCGCCUGUGACGAAGCGUGAGUGACGGUAAUGGGUAAAGAAGCACCGGCUAACUACGUG
rnacentral:rRNA from 1 species